rnacentral:pre_miRNA from 7 species
CUGGUGCUCUCAUAUGUAACAGCAACUCCAUGUGGACUACACUGACUUCCAGUGGAGAUGCUGUUACUUUUGAUAGCGGCUCA